GAGGGCCCCGCACAAGCAGCGGAGCGUGUGGUUUAAUUCGAUGUUACACGAAGAACCUUACCAGGGUUUGACAUGCAAGUGGUAGGAAGCCGAAAGGUGACCGACCCUUCGGGGAGCUUGCACAGGUGCUGCAUGGCUGUCGUCAGCCCGUGUCGUGAGAUGUUGGGUUAAGUCCCGCAACGAGCGCAACCCUUAUCAUUAGUUGCUACGCAAGGGCACUCUAAUGAGACUGCCGGUGACAAACCGGAGGAAGUGGGGAUGACGUCAAGUCCUCAUGGCCCUUAUGGGUAGGGCUUCACACGUCAUACAAUGGUCGGUACAGAGGGUUGCCAAGCCGCGAGGCGGAGCCAAUCCCACAAAGCCGAUCGUAGUCCGGAUUGUUCUCUGCAACUCGAGAGCAUGAAGUCGGAAUCGCUAGUAAUCGCAGGUCAGCAUACUGCGGUGAAUACGUUCCCGGGUCUU
rnacentral:rRNA from 1 species